UGGGCAACCUGCCCUCAGCACUGGGAUAACCCCGGGAAAACCGGGGCUAAUACCAGAUAUGACCACGGCGGACAUCCGCUGUGGUGGAAAGCGUUAGUGGCUGAGGAUGGGCCCGCGGCCUAUCAGCUUGUUGGUGGGGUAAUGGCCCACCAAGGCGACGACGGGUAGCCGGCCUGAGAGGGUGACCGGCCACACUGGGACUGAGACACGGCCCAAACUCCUACGGGAGGCA
rnacentral:rRNA from 1 species